ACAGUUUGAUCCUGUCUCAGAUUGAACGCUGGCGGCAUGCCUUACACAUGCAAGUCGAACGGCAGCACGGGCUUCGGCCUGGUGGCGAGUGGCGAACGGGUGAGUAAUACAUCGGAACGUGCCCUGUAGUGGGGGAUAACUAGUCGAAAGAUUAGCUAAUACCGCAUACGACCUGAGGGUGAAAGCGGGGGACCGUAAGGCCUCGCGCUACAGGAGCGGCCGAUGUCUGAUUAGCUAGUUGGUGGGGUAAGAGCCUACCAAGGCGACGAUCAGUAGCUGGUCUGAGAGGACGAUCAGCCACACUGGGACUGAGACACGGCCCAGACUCCUACGGGAGGCAGCAGUGGGGAAUUUUGGACAAUGGGGGCAACCCUGAUCCAGCAAUGCCGCGUGUGUGAAGAAGGCCUUCGGGUUGUAAAGCACUUUUGUCCGGAAAGAAAUCGCGCUGGUUAAUACCUGGCGUGGAUGACGGUACCGGAAGAAUAAGCACCGGCUAACUACGUGCCAGCAGCCGCGGUAAUACGUAGGGUGCGAGCGUNNAUCGGAAUUACUGGGCGUUAAGCGUGCGCAGGCGGUUUGAUAAGACAGGCGUGAAAUCCCCGAGCUUAACUUGGGGAAUGGCGCUUGUGACU
rnacentral:rRNA from 1 species